UACAGAGGGUGCAAGCGUUAUCCGGAUUUAUUGGGCGUAAAGCGUCCGCAGGUGGUUUUCCAAGUCUGCUGUUAAAGCGCGAGGCUUAACCUCGUACAGGCAGUGGAAACUGGAUGACUAGAGUAUGGUAGGGGUAGCGGGAAUUCCCAGUGUAGCGGUGAAAUGCGUAGAUAUUGGGAAGAACACCAGCGGCGAAAGCGCGCUACUGGGCCAUUACUGACACUCAUGGACGAAAGCUAGGGGAGCGAAAGGG
rnacentral:rRNA from 1 species